UACAGAGGGUGCAAGCGUUAAUCGGAUUUACUGGGCGUAAAGGGCGCGUAGGUGGUUAUAUAAGUGAGGUGUGAAAGCCCCGGGCUUAACCUGGGAACUGCAUCUUAAACUAUGUAGCUGGAGUGCGAUAGAGGGUAGUGGAAUUUCCGGUGUAGCGGUGAAAUGCGUAGAUAUCGGAAGGAACAUCAGUGGCGAAGGCGACUACCUGGAUUGACACUGACACUGAGGCGCGAAAGCGUGGGGAGCAAACAGG
rnacentral:rRNA from 1 species